AGAGUUUGAUCCUGGCUCAGGAUGAACGCUAGCUACAGGCUUAACACAUGCAAGUCGAGGGGCAGCAUUUCAGUUUGCUUGCAAACUGGAGAUGGCGACCGGCGCACGGGUGAGUAACACGUAUCCAACCUGCCGAUAACUCGGGGAUAGCCUUUCGAAAGAAAGAUUAAUACCCGAUGGUAUAAUUAGACCGCAUGGUCUUGUUAUUAAAGAAUUUCGGUUAUCGAUGGGGAUGCGUUCCAUUAGGCAGUUGGUGAGGUAACGGCUCACCAAACCUUCGAUGGAUAGGGGUUCUGAGAGGAAGGUCCCCCACAUUGGAACUGAGACACGGUCCAAACUCCUACGGGAGGCAGCAGUGAGGAAUAUUGGUCAAUGGGCGCAGGCCUGAACCAGCCAAGUAGCGUGAAGGAUGACUGCCCUAUGGGUUGUAAACUUCUUUUAUAUGGGAAUAAAGUUUUCCACGUGUGGAAUUUUGUAUGUACCAUAUGAAUAAGGAUCGGCUAACUCCGUGCCAGCAGCCGCGGUAAUACGGAGGAUCCGAGCGUUAUCCGGAUUUAUUGGGUUUAAAGGGAGCGUAGGUGGACAGUUAAGUCAGUUGUGAAAGUUUGCGGCUCAACCGUAAAAUUGCAGUUGAUACUGGCUGUCUUGAGUACAGUAGAGGUGGGCGGAAUUCGUGGUGUAGCGGUGAAAUGCUUAGAUAUCACGAAGAACUCCGAUUGCGAAGGCAGCUCACUGGACUGCAACUGACACUGAUGCUCGAAAGUGUGGGUAUCAAACAGGAUUAGAUACCCUGGUAGUCCACACAGUAAACGAUGAAUACUCGCUGUUUGCGAUAUACAGUAAGCGGCCAAGCGAAAGCAUUAAGUAUUCCACCUGGGGAGUACGCCGGCAACGGUGAAACUCAAAGGAAUUGACGGGGGCCC
rnacentral:rRNA from 1 species